UCGAAAUUUGCUUUAUUAUUGAUCAUGUCUCAUAAUUUGGUUUGUCCACUACCCUUGCUUUUCUGGCAUUGUCCAAGAAAUUGACUGUAGAUGAACUCUUUUAUCUGAAGGAGUAGUUUGCACUGUUAGAACAUAACUUUGGGGAAUAUCUGGACGGUGUGGAUGAAACAGGACAUGAUGUUGCACCAUAGAUGUUACUAAGUAUCUUGCCUACACCUUCAAGUAUGCAAUUUUG